CCUACGGGUGGCAGCAGUGAGGAAUAUUGGUCAAUGGACGAGAGUCUGAACCAGCCAAGUAGCGUGAAGGAUGACUGCCCUAUGGGUUGUAAACUUCUUUUAUCUGGGAAUAAAAUGUUCCACGUGUGGGCUUUUGUAUGUACCAUAAGAAUAAGGAUCGGCUAACUCCGUGCCAGCAGCCGCGGUAAUACGGAGGAUCCGAGCGUUAUCCGGAUUUAUUGGGUGUAAAGGGAGCGUAGGUGGAUUGUUAAGUCAGUUGUGAAAGUUUGCGGCUCAACCGUAAAAUUGCAGUUGAAACUGGCAGUCUUGAGUACAGUAGAGGUGGGCGGAAUUCGUGGUGUAGCGGUGAAAUGCUUAGAUAUCACGAAGAACUCCGAUUGCGAAGGCAGCUCACUGGACUGCAACUGACACUGAGGCUCGAAAGUGUGGGUAUCAAACAGGAUUAGAUACCCGGGUAGUC
rnacentral:rRNA from 1 species